AUGACAGAUUACGGCGAGGAGCAGCGCAACGAGCUGGAGGGCUCUGGAGUCCAUCUACCCUGACUCCUUCACAGUAUUAUCAGAAAAUCCACCCAGCUUCACCAUUACUGUGACAUCUGAGGCUGGAGAAAAUGAUGAAACUGUCCAGACAACCCUCAAGUUUACAUACAGUGAAAAAUACCCAGAUGAAGCUCCCCUUUAUGAAAUAUUCGCCCAGUUAAAUCUAGAAGAUAAUGAUGUAGCAGACAUUUUAAAAUUAUUAGCAUUACAGGCAGAAGAAAACCUUGGUAUGGUGAUGAUCUUCACCUCAGUGACAGGUGUGCAAGAGAAAUUAAAUGAAAUAGUAGAUCAAAUAAAAACUAGAAGAGAAGAAGAAAAGAAACAAAAAGAAAGAGAAGCAGAAGAAGCGGAGAAGCAAUUAUUCCAUGGUACUCCUGUUACAACUGAGAAUUUCUUAAAUUGGAAGGCCAAGUUGGAUGCAGAACUCUUGGCAAUUAAAAAGAAACGGAUGAAGGAAGAAGAGCAAGCAGGAAAAAAUAAAUUAAGUGGGAGACAACUAUUUGAAACAGAUCAUAAUCUUGACACAUCUGAUAUCCAGUUCUUGGAAGAUGCUGGAAACAAUGUGGAGGUAGAUGAGUCUUUGUUCCAGGAAAUGGAUGACUUGGAGCUGGAGGACGAUGAAGAUGAUCCAGACUACAAUCCUGCUGACCGGGACAGUGACUUGACCGACUGAUGGACUAUUCCUGUCUGCAGACAGGCUUGACUGCCACAGCAUCUGUGGCUAUGCUGAGAGGGUGUUGAUUUUCCUUUCUUUUUUCUAAGAAAAAAAUAAUUUUCAGGAGAAUAUUCUUCUGAUGGCUUUCAUCAUUGAACUUAAUAAAUUGAUCUUAAAAAUUUCAAAUA